GAAAAGCAGUUUGUUCUAAUGAAUAAAUUGCUUUAUAUUUUAUAAUUGUACACAUUCGUCUCCAUUGAUAGACUGUUUCUUUCACCUUAUGAUUUUCACAGUGGAGCAACUUUCCCUGGGGACCCGGGGACAUGUCCCCCCAACAUUCUGAAAUUGCAUUUUUGUCCACCCCUGUGAUACAAAACAGGGCAACAGUGUGCUUUAGGACCAUGAGGACGCCUCCGAGUGUCCUGUAGGCUGUUUGGAGUGUUUAUCCAACUGGAUUAAAAAAUCUAUAUAAAGUUAUGUACCCCUCACUUCUAAAACCAACGUUGUGCCCCUGGAUUUUCAAAUAUUGUGCACAAGCUCAUCUAAUUUGAUGAGUACAUCCUCCUGAACCUAAUGGAACGUAUCAAACAAUGCGAUAGAAAAUAGUGUAACUUGGUCUCCCCCAGUCUGUGGAUCUACUCCUCAGUUCCUUUCAAAGCCAGAAGAUAAUCAUCUCCUGGUGGGAGAAGAUCUCUUCCUGAAGUGUGUCAUUGUAGCUUGUGGAGAAAGCAGGAUUCAAAGCCAAAGUGAUACUCAUGUCAUUGUAAAGAAGAGUGCUAUUGUGUCAGACUCUGGGAAGUGUGUGAGAUGCCAAAUAGGAAGAGGGGGAAGUCUGCUGUUCUGCAGACGAGUUGGUCACUGAGCCAAACCAAAGUGUUUCAAAGCCCAGGCAGUUGUCAUGAUCAACACUGAAGAUCCAGAUAGGAAAACUGUACAUGCAUCCUCAACAAGUAAACAACAUAAAAAGUCAAGAGGGGCAGGAGGGAAAAUAGGGAGUCUGGGGACUUGAAUAAAGAAAUGAUGUAUUUAUUGGAGUUUCACAGCAUACACGUGUGUACAUUUUGUGGCAAUUUGCCUAUUGCAUGUAGUCCCUUUGUUUGCAAUUAAAGCCUUUUUGUGAAAACUG